rnacentral:rRNA from 1 species
AUGGCCUGCUCGAUGGCAGAAAGGAAGGAGGCAGCAGGGAGGAACUCGCCAUGGAGAAAGGAGGAGGAGCUCGGCAUGGCGACGACGAGGGACUCAAGGAAUGGGAGAAGUCGUUCCUUGAGCUUUCUCAAGGGAGUUGAGGCACGGCGAAAAAGAGAAGGGAAGUGCGCGCGGGAGUUGCGUGAAGCAUGGGGAAGCUGCGAGGUGUCGCCGAUGAGUGGGCAAGCGAGCGUGGUCAGAAAGGGGGAAGGGGACGGUACUGCGGGUUAUGUUGGGAAAAGACAGUUUUAUUUAUUUUGCAAAAUUCACGCGGCGCCAUCCUUUUCCGGACGGAGGGAGUACUACAUUGUAGAUCAGAUUUGCAUAGUUCUACCAAAUGCCUUGAUUUGA